rnacentral:sRNA from 1 species
AACAUAGAGCGAUUAUCUCCAAGGGUUGUGGUGAGAUUGUCCCAGAGGUUUGUAGCCGUUAUCGAGUGUGGUCAUAAUGCACUCUUAGAAAAUAUAAUGGAGCCUUCUAAUAACAAUAGCAGUUAUUUAUGGAGCCCUCAUUAAUGUGACCUAGUUAUGCAUUAUGGUAUAAUUUUCAUACUUAAUUUUUCCCUGAUAUAUUUUU